AUAUAUGUAGACAGCGAAACACAAACAUAUACAGUGAAGCGCAAUGUGAAAUGCCAAGCAGCCAUAACAAUCCGUCCGCAAAAACACGUAAGGUCAAGAACCACUCAAACAAAAGUGCCAAAUAUGAUAAGUAGAGGUAUAGACUUUCCAUUCCGGCCGUUUUGAUUUUUGUGAAAAAUCCAGCAAUACGAUAAUUUUAUGCUAAGGUACGGAGGUUGAGUUCAUUUCAACAAAAAAUCACACCACACAGACGACGUCAUGUGAAAUUGAACAUUUUGAGGAUAGAGCUGUAUGGUCUGAUACAGAAAGCACGUCGACGAUGAGCAAUAGCUACUAUGGAUCAGACUCUCAAUGUUCAAAUGGGUUAAGCGAAAAUGAAGAAUCCGACAAUGACAAUGCAACGGAAGACGUUCAAAAUGAGAGAAAAUACAUAGUGUUUGAUAGUUGCCUGAGACAGUUAGUGAGU